rnacentral:rRNA from 1 species
UACGUAGGGACCAAGCGUUGUUCGGAUUUACUGGGCGUAAAGGGCGCGUAGGCGGCUUGUCAAGUCACUUGUGAAAUCUCUGGGCUUAACCCAGAACGGCCAAGUGAAACUGACAUGCUAGAGUGCAGAAGGGCAAUCGGAAUUCUUGGUGUACGGUGAAUGCGCAGAUAUCAGGAGGAACACCGGUGGCGAAGGCGGAUCUGCUGGGCCUGUUCUGACGCUGAGGCGCGAAAGCUAGGGGAGCGAACAGG